UAGGGAAUCUUCCACAAUGGACGCAAGUCUGAUGGAGCAACGCCGCGUGAGUGAAGAAGGUUUUCGGAUCGUAAAGCUCUGUUGUUGGUGAAGAAGGAUAGAGGUAGUAACUGGCCUUUAUUUGACGGUAAUCAACCAGAAAGUCACGGCUAACUACGUGCCAGCAGCCGCGGUAAUACGUAGGUGGCAAGCGUUGUCCGGAUUUAUUGGACGUAAAGCGAGCGCAGGCGGAAGAAUAAGUCUGAUGUGAAAGCCCUCGGCUUAACCGAGGAAUUGCAUCGGAAACUGUUUUCUUGAGUGCAGAAGAGGAGAGUGGAACUCCAUGUGUAGCGGUGGAAUGCGUAGAUAUAUGGAAGAACACCAGUGGCGAAGGCGGCUCUCUGGUCUGCAACUGACGCUGAGGCUCGAAAAGCAUGGGUAGCGAACAGGAUUAGAUACCCUGGUAGUCCA
rnacentral:rRNA from 1 species